rnacentral:rRNA from 1 species
GUGGUGGUGUCGCUUGUUCAGCGCCUUUGGCGUGCAUUCUGGCGAUACCUUGUCGUUGUGGCUGGUUGGUAAGUGAUUUUGACGUACCGGCUGGUGAGGGCUCCCUUUCGGUGAGGACAACGACAAAAUGACGCAAUACGACCCGUCUUGAAACACGGACCAAGGAGUCUAGCACGGCUGCGAGUCGAAGGGUGUAAAACCCAAGGGCGCAGUGAAAGCGAAUUUAUAAGCAAAUUGGGGAGGCGUGGAGUUUUUAACAAAAUGUCCUACCUUGAGCAUUUGUGCUGGGACCCGAAAGAUGGUGAACUAUGCCGGAGUAGGGCAAAGCCAGAGGAAACUCUGGUGGAGGCUCGUAGCGAUGCUGACGUGCAAAUCGCUCGUCGAACUUGGGUAUAGGGGCGAAAGACUAAUCGAACCAUCUAGUAGCUGGUUCCCUCCGAAGUUUCUCUCAGGAUAGCGGGCCGACAUAUGUUGUUUUGUGCGGUAAAGCGAAUGAUUAGUGCAUUUGGGGUCUGAUAGACUUCGGGCGAUUCUCAAACUUUAAAUGCGCAAGGGGGUGGCUGCUUAAUUGAGCCUACUCUUUGAAAAACGUCGGCCCUGUGGGCCACUUUUGGUAAGCAGAACUGGCGAUAAGGGAUGAACCUUAAGCGCGGUUAAGGCGCCGCAUUGCCCGCUUAUAGACCCCACAAAAGGUGUUGAUUCAUUUAGACAGCAGGACGGUGGCCAUGGAAGUCGGAAUCCGCUAAGGAGUGUGUAACAACUCACCUGCCGAAUGAAUUAGCCCUGAAAAUGGAUGGCGCUUAAGCGGGCAGCCGACACCGCGCCGUUCCGGCGAGACGAUGCCGGGAUGAGUAGGAGGGCGUGGCGGUCAGUGACGCAGGCGAGGGUGCAGACCCCGCUGAAACGGCCGCUAGUGCAGAUCUUGGUGGUAGUAGCAAAUAUUCAAGCGAGAUCCUUGAAGGGCGAAGCGGGGAAGGGUUCCACGCAAACAUUGAUUGGGCGUGGGUGAGUCGUUCCUAAGCCGAGUGGCAAUUGCUAAGUAGCGGCGAAAGGGAAGCGGGUUAAAAUUCCCGCACACGGAUAUGGAGGCGGCGACGCAAGCAGAGGCAAAUACGCUGGCGAGGGCGCUGGGCAGAGUUGUCUUUUCUGUUUGACCGGCAUCGCGCUGUGUGGAAUCCGCUUAUCGGGAGAAACACGCGCGGGGAGGGGCAGAGCGUCAGGUCUUUUCUGGCGUCCGGCUCGCCCUCGACGGCCCUUGAAAAUUUGCCCGCGAACUUAAAUUUCAUGCUGUGACGUACCGAUAACCGCAUCAGGUCCCCAAGGUGAACAGCCUCUGCUCAAUAUGAACAAUGCAGGUAAGGGAAGUCGGCAAAAUAGACCCGUAACUUUGGGAAAAGGGUUGGCUCUAGUGGAGCGGGGGUUUUCAAAGGGAGCUCACCUGUGCUUGGCGCAGGGCGGGUGUGGCUAGCUCACGCUGGAUGUGCCUGCUUCGCGUCUUGCGCGGGGGACGUUUCUCGCCCUCAGCAUGCUCCAAACUAGAACUGCAACGGGCAAAGGGAAUCCGACUGUUUAAUUAAAACAAAGCAUGCGAAG